AAUAAAGUGCCUGAAAAAAGGAUUAUUCUGAUAGAGUAAAUUAUGUAGAAUUCUACCUUUAUUA
rnacentral:tRNA from 1 species